rnacentral:rRNA from 1 species
GACGAACGCUGGCGGCGUGCCUAAUACAUGCAAGUUGAGCGCUGAAGGUUGGUACUUGUACCGACUGGAUGAGCAGCGAACGGGUGAGUAACGCGUGGGGAAUCUGCCUUUGAGCGGGGGACAACAUUUGGAAACGAAUGCUAAUACCGCAUAAAAACUUUAAACACAAGUUUUAAGUUUGAAAGAUGCAAUUGCAUCACUCAAAGAUGAUCCCGCGUUGUAUUAGCUAGUUGGUGAGGUAAAGGCUCACCAAGGCGAUGAUACAUAGCCGACCUGAGAGGGAGGACGGGCACAUUGGGGCUGAGACACGGCACAAACGACUACGGGAGGCAGCAGGAGGGAGGGGUCGGAGAGGGAUGAAAGACUGAACGAGCAACGGCGCGGGAGUGAAGAAGGGUUUCGGAUCGUAAAACUCGGUUGGUAGAGAAGAACGUUGGGGAGGGUGGAAAGCUCAUCAAGUGACGGUAACUACCCAGAAAGGGACGGCUAACUACGUG